UACGUAGGGUGCGAGCGUUGUCCGGAAUUACUGAGCGUAAAGAGCUCGUAGGUGGUUUGUCGCGUUGUUCGUGAAAACUCACAGCUUAACUGUGGGCGUGCGGGCGAUACGGGCAGACUGGAGUACUGCAGGGGAGACUGGAAUUCCUGGUGUAGCGGUGGAAUGCGCAGAUAUCAGGAAGAACACCCGUGGCGAAGGCGGCUCUCUGGGACGGUACUGACGCUGAGACGCGAAAGCGUGGGGAGCGAACAGG
rnacentral:rRNA from 1 species